rnacentral:rRNA from 1 species
GUCUACGGCCAUGUUACCCUGAAUGAGCCCAAUCCCGUCUCAUCUCGGAAGCUAAGCAGGGUUGGGCCUGGUUAGUACUUGGAUGGGAGACCACCUAGGAAGACCAGGUGCUGUAGGCG